rnacentral:snRNA from 1 species
AUCGUUUCUUGGCCUUUUGGCUAAGAUCAAGUGUAGUAUCUGUUCUUAUCAGUUUAAUAUCUGAUAUGCCCUCUAUUUGAGGACUCUAUAUUAAAUGGAUUUGGGGAAUUAAAAAAAAAGAUUAAAAUUUAAAAAAGAAACAUCGCUUUCCUUUCCUGAUUCUAUUUCUAUACUCAG